GGGUACUGUCGGGGACCAGAUUAACAGGAUUAGAUACCCUGGUAGUCCACGCCCUAAACGAUGUCGACUGGUUGUUGGGGGUUUGACACUCUCAGUAACGAAGCUAACGCGUGAAGUCGACCGCCUGGGGAGUACGGCCGCAGGGUUAAAACUCAAAGGAAUUGACGGGGACCCGCACAAGCGGUGGAUUAUGUGGAUUAAUUCGAUGCAACGCGAAAAACCUUACCUACCCUUGACAUGUCCGAGAGCCCGGUGAGAGCUGGGUGUGCCCGAAAGGGAAUCGGAACACAGGUGCUGCAUGGCUGUCGUCAGCUCGUGUCGUGAGAUGUUGGGUUAAGUCCCGCAACGAGCGCAACCCUUGUCAUUAGUUGCUACAUUCAGUUGGGCACUCUAAUGAGACUGCCGGUGACAAACCGGAGGAAGGUGGGGAUGACGUCAAGUCCUCAUGGCCCUUAUGGGUAGGGCUUCACACGUAAUACAAUGGCGCGUACAGAGGGUUGCCAAGGAGCGAUCUGGAGCCAAUCCCGCAAAGCGCGUCGUAGUCCGGAUUGGAGUCUGCAACUCGACUCCAUGAAGCCGGAAUCGCUAGUAAUCGCGGAUCAGCAUGUCGCGGUGAAUACGUUCCCGGGUCUUGUACACACCGCCCGUCACACCAUGGGAGUGGGUUCCACCAGAAGCCGGUCGCCUAACCGCAAGGAGGGCGCCGACCACGGUGAGACUCAUGACUGGGGUGAAGUCGUAACAAGGUAACCAA
rnacentral:rRNA from 1 species